rnacentral:misc_RNA from 1 species
GCCAUUUAAAAAAAAAUUAAUAUUACACAAGCCUCUGUUGAUCCUAUUAUUAUACAGAAAUUUCAUUUGGACCCACAAGUUCAUGCACAUUAUUCAACUCCAACCUUCAAGCUCCAGUGGGGUCCAUUCCAUCACUUUCUCCAGCCACUCGUCACCGAACUGAAUCCCAUCACAGCAAUGCUCCUCCUCCUCCACCACUUCACUAUCGCACCCUUUCUCCUCCACAUCUCUCAACUCAACGCUCUCGUCGGUUCCGUUUCCGAAGGCGCCUCCGACGAGCUCCACUCCGGCCAUCACUGAGGAUGCAGAGUUUGAGACUGAAGCCCCGCAGCUCUCACUCUUCCCACUGUUAACAAAAGAUGGAGCUGACAACGGAGGUGGAGGUGGCAAAGGUGAUCCUGAGAGAAUAGUCUCCGACGAUGGCGAGGCGGUUGUCUCAGUGCAUGUUGAUGAUGGGCUUGUAAAUGUAAUCUCUCUGUAUAACUCUUGCAUUACCUCUUCUAUCAUCUCUUCUUUAAUAGGACACUCCGGAGAGAGGUCGGCUUCCGAGUCAGGUUCCAAUAAAAACUCCGGCAAAAUCCUUGCAAUGGUGUCAUUCGCCGGAGACAUUGAAGAUC